CGGCCUCCACGCGCGCUCUUCUGACAGCGAGACGCACACGCCGAUGCGAACCAUUGCGCCCGACGCGCGUCAAGCGGCGCGGCGUCACACGGGCUCAAACCGGAAGUCCAAGCGGUAGUCUUCAGAAUAAAGGUCCUGUGAAAACAAGGCAGGGGGGCAGUUAAGCGCAAAGUCUACGACCUCCAUCCAAAACCACCACGGUGACGCACGCGUCAGUCCGCACGUACUGACCCCAAACCCGGUUCUGACACAAUCACUUACUCACUGGACAAACAAGUCCGCAAUACGACAUCUUUUAAAUCCUCCCAAAGCCUCUUGGGAAAAGAGGCUUUUUGAAGAGUUACGUUCUAGUGAUUUGUUACACAAAAUGCUUUAAAGCAGCGGUCAGUUACAGAUAAUAAUAAUCGACGUGAGCAAAGCAUUUUUUGUUGUAUUUCAGUCACAUUUUGCAGGCGAAUCUUCCUCUAAACCGCCGUUGGUUCAAAACUCCAGUAAUUUGUUUAUGCUGAAUCCUAAAUCUUGCCCAGUAUUUUACUACAUUAGCUUAUUUUUCUAUUUCCUUAUACCAUCUAUUUCACUUCGGUCUGGGCUAUUUUUACAAAACUGUGAUAUGUAAUUUUACUUGUAAUAAAAAUAAGUGACAUGUUUCAUUGUGAACAAACGAUUGUUAAUAGUUAUUAUUGUUCCUGUAAAAAAAAAAUCUAAUAUUUUCGGAUUUGGGAAUUCACUCUUUGAGCCUUUUCUUGAUGAAGUGCAACUUCAACUUCCUUUUCUCUCGUUUACCUGGAGGCGUCCAGCUUCUGCUGCUCCAGGAUCCUCUGCUGGGCCUCCCAGCCGCCCUUCUCCUCCUCGUGCUGCCGACGUCUCUCCUCCAGUUCUCUGUGCUGCGCCUCCAGGUUCUUUUUCAUUUGCUCGUGACGCCUCUGGAGCUGCGGGGACACGGAGGGACAGCCGAGAGGUUAACAGAGCGUCAACCAGAGAGAGAAAAAACACACACUGGGGGUGGGAGCGAAGGAGGAGGAUUCGCUUACCUCAACCUCGGAGUCUCGGAGCUUCUGCAGCUUCUCUUUGACCUUCAUCUCAAACACUUGCUCCAUUUCCUGUUCCAUCUUCCUCAUCUUGGACACGUGGUCCCGUCGCUCCUCCUCCAUCUGGGCUAGAGGACUCCUGGAGACACAAGCCAGUCAUCACACAGUGUGAUAGAACCAGCAGGAGGAACCCACCCCCCCACCCCGAGGUCACGCUACUGACGUGCUUUUCGGCAACCCAAACAGCGCGGUUCUGAGCGCGCUGCGCUGGCGGACCUACUUGGUG